rnacentral:rRNA from 1 species
UACAGAGGGGGCAAGCGUUGUUCGGAAUUACUGGGCGUAAAGGGCGCGUAGGCGGCCUGUUAAGUCGAACGUGAAAUCCCCGGGCUCAACCCGGGAACUGCGUCCGAUACUGGCAGGCUUGAAUCCGGGAGAGGGAUGUGGAAUUCCUGGUGUAGCGGUGAAAUGCGCAGAUAUCAGGAGGAACACCGGUGGCGAAGGCGGGUCUCUGGGCCGAUACUGACGCUGAGGAGCGAAAGCGUGGGGAGCGAACAGG